rnacentral:rRNA from 1 species
AGUGAACGCUGGCGGCGUGCCUAACACAUGCAAGUCGAACGAUGAUUGGAGAGCUUGCUCUUCAUGAUUAGUGGCGCACGGGUGAGUAACGCAUAGGUAAUGUGCCCCUUAGAGAGGGAUAGCCACUGGAAACGGUGAUUAAUACCUCAUACUCCUUCUUGUCAUAAGGCGAGUCGGGAAAUGUUUUUCGCUAAGGGAUCAGCCUAUGUCCUAUCAGGUAGUUGGUGAGGUAAUGGCUCACCAAGCCAAUGACGGGUAUCUGGUUUGAGAGGAUGAUCAGACACACUGGAACUGAGACACGGUCCAGACUCCUACGGGAGGCAGCAGUGAGGAAUACUGCACAAUGGAGGAAACUCUGAUGCAGCAACGCCGCGUGGAGGAUGACGCAUUUCGGUGUGUAAACUCCUUUUAAGAGGGAAGAUAAUGACGGUACCUCUUGAAUAAGCACCGGCUAACUCCGUGCCAGCCGCCGCCGUAAAAC